UACGGGAGGCAGCAGUGGGGAAUAUUGCACAAUGGGCGAAAGCCUGAUGCAGCUAUGCCGCGUGUAUGAAGAAGGCCUUAGGGUUGUAAAGUACUUUCAUCGGGGAGGAAAAACAAAACUAAUAAUUUUAUUUCUUGACGUUACCCGAAAAAGAAGCACCGGCUAACUCCGUGCCAGCAGCCGCGGUAAUACGGAGGGUGCUAGCGUUAAUCAGAAUUACUGGGCGUAAAGAGCACGUAGGUGGUUUUUUAAGUCAGAUGUGAAAUCCCUGGGCUUAACCUAGGAACUGCAUUUUGAAACUGAAAUACUAGAGUAUCGUAGAGGGAGGUAGAAUUCUAGGUGUAGCGGUGAAAUGCGUAGAUAUCUGGAGGAAUACCUGUGGCGAAAGCGGCCUCCUAAACGAAUACUGACACUGAGGUGCGAAAGCGUGGGGAGCAAACAGGGAUUAGACUACC
rnacentral:rRNA from 1 species